rnacentral:rRNA from 1 species
AUUGAACGCUGGCGGCAUGCCUUACACAUGCAAGUCGAACGGUAACAGGUCUUCGGAUGCUGACGAGUGGCGAACGGGUGAGUAAUACAUCGGAACGUGCCCGAGAGUGGGGGAUAACGAGGCGAAAGCUUUGCUAAUACCGCAUACGAUCUCAGGAUGAAAGCAGGGGACCGCAAGGCCUUGCGCUCACGGAGCGGCCGAUGGCAGAUUAGGUAGUUGGUGGGAUAAAAGCUUACCAAGCCGACGAUCUGUAGCUGGUCUGAGAGGACGACCAGCCACACUGGGACUGAGACACGGCCCAGACUCCUACGGGAGGCAGCAGUGGGGAAUUUUGGACAAUGGGCGCAAGUCUGAUCCAGCCAUGCCGCGUGUCUGAAGAAGGCCUUCGGGUUGUAAAGGACUUUUGUCCGGGAGCAAAUGCCUGGUGUUAAUAGCACUGGGAGCUGAGAGUACCGGAAGAAUAAGCACCGGCUAACUACGUGCCAGCAGCCGCAGUAACAC